rnacentral:rRNA from 1 species
CCUACGGGAGGCAGCAGUGGGGAAUAUUGCACAAUGGGGGAAACCCUGAUGCAGCGACGCCGCGUGAGUGAAGAAGUAUUUCGGUAUGUAAAGCUCUAUCAGCAGGGAAGAAAAUGACGGUACCUGAUUAAGAAGCCCCGACUAACUACGUGCCAGCAACCGCGGUAAUACGUAGGGGGCAAGCGUUAUCCGGAUUUACUGGGUGUAAAGGGAGCGUAGACGGCAGCACAAGUCUGGAGUGAAAGGCCGGGGCUUAACCCAGGAACUGCUUUGGAAACUGUGCAGCUAGAAUUACAGAGAGGAUAGUGGAAUACCCAGGGUAGAGGUGAAAUUCGUAGAUAUUGGGUAGAACACCAGUGGCGAAGGCGACUAUCUGGCUGUACAGUGACGCUGAGGCUCGAAAGCAUGGGGAUCAAACAGGAUUAGAUACCCUGUAGUC